rnacentral:piRNA from 1 species
UGAGAAAUGAGGUGACUCUAAUAGUG